GCUUCCAUAGCUCAGCAGGUAGAGCACUUUCAUGGUAAGGAAGAAGGUCAGCCGGUUCGAGCCGCUUGGGGAGCU
rnacentral:tRNA from 1 species